rfam:Microcebus murinus cont1.193446, whole genome shotgun sequence.
GAGAGACAGCGGAUUUACAUCCCAGCUGCCGUUGCAGAAUCUAGUCAUGUACUUUUUUCCCUUUCCUUCUCUUUCUCGGAGUCAGAACAGAGCUGAGGGGGCGAAGGAGG